rnacentral:rRNA from 1 species
AGAGUUUGAUCCUGGCUCAGAUUGAACGCUGGCGGAACGCUUUACACAUGCAAGUCGAACGGUAACGCGGAGAGAAGCUUGCUUCUCUCCGGCGACGAGUGGCGAACGGGUGAGUAAUACAUCGGAACGUGUCCGCUCGUGGGGGACAACCAGCCGAAAGGUUGGCUAAUACCGCAUGAGUUCUACGGAAGAAAGAGGGGGACCCGCAAGGGCCUCUCGCGAGCGGAGCGGCCGAUGACUGAUUAGCCGGUUGGUGAGGUAACGGCUCACCAAAGCAACGAUCAGUAGCUGGUCUGAGAGGACGACCAGCCACACUGGGACUGAGACACGGCCCAGACUCCUACGGGAGGCAGCAGUGGGGAAUUUUGGACAAUGGGCGCAAGCCUGAUCCAGCUAUUCCGCGUGUGGGAUGAAGGCCCUCGGGUUGUAAACCACUUUUGUAGAGAACGAAAAGACACCUUUUAAAAAAGGGUGUUGCUGACGGUACUCUAAGAAUAAGCACCGGCUAACUACGUGCCAGCAGCCGCGGUAAUACGUAGGGUGCGAGCGUUAAUCGGAAUUACUGGGCGUAAAGGGUGCGCAGGCGGUUGAGUAAGACAGAUGUGAAAUCCCCGAGCUUAACUCGGGAAUGGCAUAUGUGACUGCUCGACUAGAGUGUGUCAGAGGGAGGUGGAAUUCCACGUGUAGCAGUGAAAUGCGUAGAUAUGUGGAAGAACACCGAUGGCGAAGGCAGCCUCCUGGGACAUAACUGACGCUCAGGCACGAAAGCGUGGGGAGCAAACAGGAUUAGAUACCCUGGUAGUCCACGCCCUAAACGAUGUUAACUAGUUGUUGGGAAGUAAAAUUCUCAGUAACGCAGCCAACGCGAGAAGUUAACCGCCUGGGAAGUACGGUCGCAAGACUAAAACUCAAAGGAAUUGACGGGGACCCGCACAA